rnacentral:rRNA from 1 species
AUGAAAUUAAAUCUUUAUGUACUGACUCCUAAGCGAAUUAUUUGGGAUUGUAAGGUGAAAGAAAUCAUUUUAUCCACUAAUAGUGGCCAAAUUGGCGUAUUACCAAACCACGCCCCCAUUAACACAGCAGUAGAUAUGGGUCCUUUGAGAAUACGCCUCCUCAACGACCAAUAUCAUCAUUUUAGGAAAUGA